rnacentral:rRNA from 1 species
UACGGAGGGUGCAAGCGUUAUCCGGAUUUAUUGGGUUUAAAGGGUCCGUAGGCGGAUCUGUAAGUCAGUGGUGAAAUCUCACAGCUUAACUGUGAACUGCCAUUGAUACUGCAGGUCUUGAGUAAAGUAGAAGUGGCUGGAAUAAGUAGUGUAGCGGUGAAAUGCAUAGAUAUUACUUAGAACACCAAUUGCGAAGGCAGGUCACUAUGUUUAACUGACGCUGAUGGACGAAAGCGUGGGAGCGAACAGG